GAAACUUAAAGGAAUUGGCGGGGGAGCACCACAAGGCGUGAAGCUCGCGGUUCAAUUGGAGUCAACGCCGGGAACCUUACCGGGGGCGACAGCAGGAUGAAUGCCAGAUUGAAGGUCUUGCUGGACAAGCUGAGAGGAGGUGCAUGGCCGUCGCCAGUUCGUGCCGUGAGGUGCCCUGUUAAGUCAGGCAACGAUCGAGACCCGCGCCCCUAGUUGCUACUGAGGAAGUUUUCCAAGGGGCACUCUAGGGGGACUGCCGUCGAUAAGACGGAGGAAGGAGCGGGCCACGGCAGGUCAGUAUGCCCCGAAUCCCCCGGGCUACACGCGAGCUGCAAUGGCAGGUACAAUGGGUUCCGACCCUGAAAAGGGGAGGCAAUCUCUAAACCCUGCCUCAGUUUGGAUCGAAGGCUGGAACCCGCCUUCGUGAAAAUGGAAUGCCUAGUAAUCGCGCGUCAUCAUCGCGCGGUGAAUACGUCCCCGCUCCUUGCACACACCGCCCGUCGCUCCAUCCGAGUGGGGUUUGGGUGAGGCGUGGUCUUCUUGGCCGCGUCGAAUCUGAGUUCCGCAAGGAGGGAGAAGUCGUAACAA
rnacentral:rRNA from 1 species